UCCUGGGUAGCUGAACUGUUAAAGAAUUUGCCUGUAGUGCAGAAGACCCAGGUUCGAUUCCUGGGUCAGGAA
rnacentral:tRNA from 1 species